CGAUGCCGGGGCCCAUGGGAAGGAGCGGGGCCGGGCCUGAGGCGGCGGGGGCGGUCUCGGGCGGGGCCGGGCAGCAGCAGCAGCGGGAGCAUGGCGGAGGCCGAGCAGGACGGCGUGUCCGGAGCCCCGGAGCCGCCGCGGUACCGGGGAGCGCUGCACCCCGACACGUGGGAGCAGGUGAGGCGGCGGGGCCGGGCGCGGGGCCGGGCGGGCCGAGCCGAGGGCGCUGUGCGUGUCCGUGUGUCCGUCCGCAGGAGCUGGAGGCCAUCCCCAUGUUCAUGAAGCGCUGCCCGGCCGAGAUCGAUGCGGCUCGGCAGCCCGAGCUCGCCUGCCUGCAGUCGCUGCUGUUCGACGAGGAGCGGAGCCCCGCAGAGCUGGCCCUGAUGUACAAGAACGAAGGGAACGAGUACUUCAAGGAGAAGGACUACGGCAGAGCGGUGGCCGCCUACUCGGAGGGGCUGCGGAGACGCUGCGGGGACGCGGAGCUGGACGCGGUGCUGCUCACCAACCGAGGGGCUGCACAUUUCCACCUGGGUAAUUACCGUUCUGCUCUAAAUGACGCCAUCCAAGCCAAAAAGCUGAAGCCCACCCAUCUCAAAGCCAUCAUAAGAGGAGCUCUCUGUCACAUGGAGCUAAAGAAUUUCCUGGAAGCAAUAGAAUGGUGUGAGGAAGGCUUGCAAAUUGACCCAAAAGAGAAAAAGUUUGUGGAAAUGAGAGCUAAAGCUGACAAAUUGAAGCGAAUUCAGGAGCGGGAUGCCAGGAAAGCAAAGGUGAUGGAGAGGAAAGAGCAGUGUCAGAAGGAAAUUUUGCUUGCAGCAAUAAAGGAAAGAAAUAUCAAGCUGGCUCUUGAGCCUUCAGAUGAAGAAGAGGAAGUGUCAGAUGGCCUGGCUGAGAUAUCCUUAGAUGGGUUCCACUCUGACAGUGCCACAGGGGCAAAAGUGCACUUGGAUGCCGAUGGCAGCCUGAACUGGCCUGUCCUCUUCCUGUACCCUGAGCACGAGCAGACAGAUUUCACUGUGGCUUUCCAUGAGAAUUCCAGGUUUAUUGAUCAUUUAAUGGUGAUGUUUGCUGAGUUACCUCCUUGGGAUUUAGAGAAAAAAUACCUUCCCAACAAUCUUGAGCUCUAUUUUGAGGAUGAGGAAAGAGAAGAAAUGUAUGAGGUGAACCCAGAACACACAUUGCUACAAGUGCUGCAGCAUGAAAGGACUGGAUGGAGAUGGGAAAGGGAGCUGGGCACAGCUGAGCAGCACAGAAGGGCUAUUCCAGAUCCCAUCUACACAGUACUACUUUAAAAAAGAAAAACAAAAAGAAAAACAGGCAGCAGCCGCUCAAGAGCGUGUUGAAGGUUAACAAUGCUCUCGCUGUUCACACUGCUGCGUGAGCAGCCCCUGGCACAGCACGCAGCUCUGUGCUGCUCUGAAACUGCCUUUAAAGAGUUCUGCUUUUACUGAGAGAGAAGAAUUUGCUGUUUGUGAAGCCAGAAGAUUCCUGUGCAGCCUGUGCUGUUGAGUUGCACCAUCUCAUAGCUGUCUGGAGCUGCUGCACAGCACGGGGGGCUCGGUCUGUCGCAGUGGGAGCGGGAUCUCCGCCACUCCAUAAAACUCAGCAGUGUCCAUAAGCCCUCAGAUUUCAGGCUGUAAGGGCAGUUGCACAAGAACCCUCCUUCCAGAGGGAGAGUAACAGCUGCCUUAAUUAAAAGAAGCUGUUGGGAGACGAGUUGAUUCAUAAAACACUCCUCCUCAGAUGUGCUUAGCCCUGGCUCCAAGAGGCUCUGCUAAUCAGCAUGAAAGCUCGUCACCAGCCUUUGGGAGGUAUUUUGUAAAGGCCGGGACCCCAACAGUUUUGGUAUUUGCCAAGCGUUCUCCUUUCUCUAAGAAAUACUUCUCUGGCAAGAAAGUGCAUCGACUGUAAUGAGCAAGAAUGAAACAAGGAAUCCUGUGCAGGAGGCUGCUGCUGGUUAGCCCAGCUCCAGGCUGCAGAUUUCUGCUUGAACAAAAAUACCUUGCACUCUUCAGGGGAGGAAAAUAAUCUUGGCACACAGGGAAACUUCCAGGGGAGCAGCACAGGAGAAGGAAGGGCUAACAUGAGGGGAUAAUUUGUUUAAAAGGGAACCCAGCUGGCUUGCAGAAGGUCUCCUCUAUGAUAGGCUGCAUGUGGUUUUGAAAUAAACCUGAAGCAGUGCCAAACACUGGCUGGGGUUGCAGUAACAGCAGCUGGGAAUGUACCUCCUUACCUGAGAAGAAUCACAGAUUUCCUCGGAGGUGGGCUGUCGCUGCUGGGGUUUAACAGUGGUGGCCUGGGGUGAUCCCUGCCUGUUGCAGUGAGGUGGAUGCAGUCAGGGUCCUGUUGGCUGUGCUGCUGGCCUGGGUACAGCAGUGCUCUUUGUUUGGAGCAGUGUUUGACUGACCCUUUUUAUACCUUCCUGAGUGUCCUACAGAACCUGGAAUAAACAUGGCUAUUUUAAGCAGACUGA